AGAGUUUGAUCCUGGCUCAGGAUGAACGCUAGCUACAGGCUUAACACAUGCAAGUCGAGGGGCAGCAUGUUGGUUGCUUGCAACCAAUGAUGGCGACCGGCGCACGGGUGAGUAACGCGUAUCCAACCUACCCUUGUCCAUCGGAUAACCCGUCGAAAGGCGGCCUAACACGAUAUGCGGUUCUCAGCAGGCAUCUAACGAGAACGAAAUGUGAAGGAGAAGGAUGGGGAUGCGUCUGAUUAGCUUGUUGGCGGGUAACGGCCACAAGGCGACGAUCAGUAGGGGUUCUGAGAGGAAGGUCCCCCANAUUGGAACUGAGACACGGUACCAAACUCCUACGGGAGCA
rnacentral:rRNA from 1 species